GCAGAGUUUGAUCCUGGCUCAGGAUAAACGCUGGCGGCGUGCCUAAUACAUGCAAGUCGAACGCUGGAGACCGACUUCGGUUGGUCGAAGGAGUGGCGAACGGGUGAGUAAUACAUAAGCAACCUGCCCACGAAGACCGGGAUAAUCCCUGGAAACGGGGACUAAUACCGGAUAGGCAUUUGAGAGGCAUCUCUUAAAUGUUAAAGAUUAAAAGCACUGGUGGAUGGGCUUAUGGCGCAUUAGCUUGUUGGUGAGGUAACGGCCCACCAAGGCGAUGAUGCGUAGCCGGCCUGAGAGGGUGAACGGCCACAUUGGGACUGAGACACGGCCCAGACUCCUACGGGAGGCAGCAGUAGGGAAUUUUCGGCAAUGGGGGAAACCCUGACCGAGCAACGCCGCGUGAGUGAAGACGGCCUUCGGGUUGUAAAGCUCUGUUGUAAGGGAAGAACGGUACGGAGAGAAUCUGUAAGUGACGGUACCUUACCAGAAAGCCACGGCUAACUACGUGCCAGCAGCCGCGGUAAUACGUAGGUGGCGAGCGUUAUCCGGAAUUAUUGGGCGUAAAGGGUGCGCAGGCGGCCUGUUAAGUUUAAGGUGAAAGCGUGGGGCUUAACCCCAUACAGCCUUAGAUACUGGCAGGCUAGAGUACUGGAGAGGAAAGUGGAAUUCCAUGUGUAGCGGUAAAAUGCGUAGAUAUAUGGAGGAACACCAGUGGGCGAARGCGGCUUUCUAGCCAGUAACUGACGCUGAGGCACGAAAGCGUGGGGAGCAAAUAGGAUUAGAUACCCUAGUAGUCCACGCUGUAAAACGAUGAAUACUAAGUGUUGGGGAAACUCAGUGCUGCAGCUAACGCAAUAAGUAUUCCGCCUGUGGAGUAUGCACGCAAGUGUGAAACAUAAAGGAAUUGACGGGGGCCCGCACAAGCGGUGGAGUAUGUGGUUUAAUUCGACGCAACGCGAAGAACCUUACCAGGCCUUGACAUCCCUUGCGAAGUCCUAGAGAUAGGAUAGAGGUUAUCAAGGUGACAGGUGGUGCAUGGUUGUCGUCAGCUCGUGUCGUGAGAUGUUGGGUUAAGUCCCGCAACGAGCGCAACCCUUGUCUUCAGUUACCAAUAUUAAGUUAGGGACUCUGAAGAGACUGCCGGUGAUAAACCGGAGGAAGGUGGGGAUGACGUCAAAUCAUCAUGCCCCUUAUGGCCUGGGCUACACACGUACUACAAUGGCUGUUACAGCGAGACGCAACACGGCGACGUGGAGCAAAUCUCUUAAAGGCAGUCUCAGUUCGGAUUGAAGUCUGCAACUCGACUUCAUGAAGUUGGAAUCGCUAGUAAUCGCGGAUCAGCAUGCCGCGGUGAAUUCGUUCCCGGGCCUUGUACACACCGCCCGUCAUACCAUGAGAGUCGGUAAUGCCCGAAGCCGGUGGCCUAACC
rnacentral:rRNA from 1 species